UACGGGGGGAGCAAGCGUUGUUCGGAUUUACUGGGCGUAAAGGGCGCGUAGGCGGUCAGCACAGGUCAGUUGUGAAAUCUCCGAGCUUAACUCGGAAAGGUCAACUGAUACUGUGCGACUAGAGUGCGGAAGGGGCAACUGGAAUUCUUGGUGUAGCGGUGAAAUGCGUAGAUAUCAAGAGGAACACCUGCGGCGAAGGCGGGUUGCUGGGCCGACACUGACGCUGAAGUGCGAAAGCCAGGGGAGCGAACGGG
rnacentral:rRNA from 1 species